AACUCUCGGCAACGGAUAUCUCGGCUCUCGCAUCGAUGAAGAACGUAGCGAAAUGCGAUACUUGGUCUCAAUUGCAGAAUCCCAUGAACCAUCAACUCUUUGAACGCAGGUUGCGCCUGAAGCCAUUAGGCCGAGGGCACGCCUGCCUGGGCGUCA
rnacentral:rRNA from 1 species